rnacentral:misc_RNA from 1 species
UGAUCAAAAAUGGGAAACAACACACGAUGGAAAAUGCUCUCCCAAAAUGAUGAUGAGAACUUGCUACCUCUCUCAUUCAGCAAAUCAAACAAAACUUCUAGUGCACAGCUUCUAACCUCAGGUCUUGCAUCUGAUGUCAAAUCUGAUAAACCAGCUAGCAUUGGGAACCAAUAAUGCUCAGCCACAUCAAAAUUCACAUCAACAAUAUCAUCAAUGGGCUUCAAAGCACCACCAGGUAUAAGGCCCUCUGCCAAACGAUCUUCACAAAUGCGGAGAAGGGCAAUAGCCUUCAAACUUAUGCGGUGAGAAGUUUUGUUAUUGGCAAACCGUAUAAGACAGUUGACACAGUCCAUAAAACAAUCCCCAACAACCUGAUCGAAAUGUUCCAAGAUAACCUGUUCAACAUUUCCAAAGGCACUUUCCACAAUUGAUUCCAGUUCAUCAUCUGCAGCCGCUGUGAAAAUCAUAAAAACACUAUGCCAUCCAGACUUUAUGCUUCCAACUUUAGAUUUGAUCAUUUGAACAAUACAGUCCACAAUUAGUCUCCUUAUGGAAUCGCUUCGACUGUUCCGCAUGAGAACAACAAAUGGUUUGAGAAUGUCAUU